rnacentral:rRNA from 1 species
AUUGGUUUCUCCCUUCUGACGAACCACGAUGUCAUUAAUUUGGUGUCAUGGGAAAUCAGGACUGUUACUUGAAAAAAUUAGAGUGUUUAAAGCAAGCUCGCNCUUGAAUACAUUAGCAUGGAAUAAUGAAAUAGGACGUUUGAUUCUAUUUUAGUUGGUUUCUAGGGAUCGACGUAAUGAUUAAUAGGGAUAUUGGGGGGCAUUAGUAUUCAAUUGUCAGAGGUGAAAUUCUUGGAUUUAUUGAAGACUAACUACUGCGAAAGCAUUUGCCAAGGAUGUUUUCAUUAAUCAAGAACGAAAGUUAGGGGGAUCGAAGACGAUCAGAUACCGUCGUAGUCUUAACCAUAAACUAUGCCGACUAGGGAUCGGAUGAUGUUAAUUUUUAAUGACUCAUUCGGCGCCUUACG